AUGUUCCUCAGCUUUUCAUUGAUCUCACACUAACUUUGCAAAGACUCACGUGUUUCAUGCUGCACUGUAGCAAAUCAGCCAAGAAUUAAAAUUACAUUAGUUUCAGGAAAACAUUUGAACUUUAAAUCCCCCUUUAAAUCCAAUUCAAGGUAACCUGGACUUUAAACCAGGCAUGAUUGACACUACAUACAGCACUUGGACAUCCCAGGGAAUAAAGAAAAUGUGAUUUAUUUGAGGGGACAUCCUUGUUAUCAUCCUUGAACACAUCCAAAUGAAAUAUAAACUCCCAAGCUGCCACUUUAGAUACCUACAAAUCAGAAAUUUUGUGACAAAAAAAAAUCCAUAUUACUGCCAUAAUAUCACAGAUAGAGCAGUGACUGCUUCAGUGUCCAACUCAAUUGUGUUAUGUGUUAAAUGCCCCAGCUGCUGCAAAAACAUGGUAAAAUGGACUUGGUGUAAAUAUUGAUGAGGAUGAAUGGGAUUUGAUAUGGAACCAUAUAAGGAUAUUGGUGUGUAAUCGUCCCCAAUUGUUACAAUAUAAAACCCUGCACCGCUUGCAAAUCUCUCCCAGUAAAAGACUGAAAAUGAAGCCCCAAGUUUCACCUCUAUGUCUAAAAUGGCGGGACUUAGCCAUAGGUGAAUUGUGUGUGUUAUUGUUGAAGGAAAAAGAAAAGUCAAUUUGUGGUGUUGUACCGACAAGGUGCUCUUUUUUUUUUUUUUUUUUUUUUUAUAAGACUGUAUGUAUGUAAGGGUGGCACGAUGGUAUAGUGGUUAGCACUGUCACCUCACAGCAAGAGGGUUCAAUCCCAGGAGGGAGCCCUUCUGUGCAGAGUUUGCAUGUUCUCCCCGUGUCAGCGUGGGUUUUCUCCAGGUACUCCGGCUUCCUCCCACAGUCCAAAGACAUGCAGGUUAACUGGUGACUCUAAACUGCCCGUAGGUGUGAAUGUGAGUGUGAAUGGUUGUCUGUCUCUAUGUGUCAGCCCUGUGAUAGUCUGGUGACCUGUCCAGGGUGUACCCUGCCUCUUGCCCAACGUCAGCUGGGACAGGCUCCAGCCCUCCCGCAACCCUCAAGAGGAUAAGCAGUUACGAAAAUGGAUGGAUGGAUGUAACCGGUGGACUCUAGUGAAGUCUGCCUUGUGUUAAUAUAAAGAGGCCCUGAUCGUGGAUAUCUUUCGAGGCAAUCUCAGUUUAUUCCUCUCCUGACAACAAGCGGCAAAAACAAAAUCCUCCGUCAAACACAACUAUACAAACUCCAGCCCCUACUACUAAGCCACACAAGCUUAUGUUGGCAUAAAAUGAACUUAUAAACACAGCUGAAUGAACAUAGAAAUUACCAUGAGAGCCAUGUUGCUUACCUCUCCCACAGAGCACAACAGCAAAAGGGGAGAGGAAAGGUGGGAGACACCCUUUUAUAGGUGGGGUAUCCCCAAAGGGUCAACGCAGGGGUACAGAACUUGUAUCAAACUUGGAGGCCCAAGCGUGUCAGGUAGUAAUUUUGUGGAAUUAUAACACUCAACAUUACAAAUGUACAUUUGACUUGUCGCACAUAUUACUGCUAUAUAAUUGACCCUGUUUCAUGUAAACGUCAAAUUUCCUGUGAAAACAGAAUGUAUCUUGAAAGAAGAGAAGUUGACACGGUGUCCCGGAACGUCCACAACCAACGCACCCAGGGUACCUUGCACAUCGUGUGUGGACGACGAAAGUCCAUGAGCAAAAUGUCAAUAUGUCACGAGGUGCACCUAUGGACUGUACUGUUGUGUUGAUGUUUUGUCAUUUUUAUCCUCGAUUGUUGUGCCAAUCCACCACCAUUUCAUUCUCACCUUCUGGCCUGAAGAGGCCUCUAUCACAACAUCUGAGUGUUAAUAAUCUUACAUCAGGACAUAGACAGUGCAAAGAUUACAGAUUUGAUCCAAAGCAAGCAGCUGUGUUUUUUACUACUUUUUAAUACUUACACAAAGUUCACACAUUUCGUUUUCAUAAACACAUUUCUCACAUAAAAUUCAUUGAUAAUUCCAUUUUCCAUUUCUAUGUGUCUACUGUAUCAGGUCAACUAUUUGUCCAAAUCACAACAAACAAAAAGCUAAACAAACAUCAUGCAUGCAAUAAAAUCUAAAA